rnacentral:tRNA from 1 species
ACCCCCGUAGUAUAACCUGGAUAGUAUGUCUCCCUGCGGAGGAGGCGACUCGGGUUCAAAUCCCGACGGGGGUG